rnacentral:misc_RNA from 1 species
AAACUUUUGGCUUUGUGGUUGUGAUGUUGUGUUUGCAAGUUGUCUGGAAAACCAGACUUUGUAGCUUAAGCUACUGUUUUUUUUCACUUCCUGU